CCCGCCCCCCCCCCCCACCCAAGUUGGUGCAGAGACGACUGCAGGAGAGUAGCCAGGAGGCUGAAUUCAUUCUUGCUGCCUCUUUUCAAUUCGCAGUUCAGUGUCAGCGUCUCAGUCUGGCAGAUCAGAAAGCUGCUGAGGAUGUUUGGCAUGAGUUUCCACAGGGAAGACUGGAGUCACUGAGAAGCCACAUUCUAAUCCCUUCAGGGCCUCCCAGUGGAAAAGCGACAGAACCCAAAGUCACCGUGGAAGUGGGACCCACGGCGGUAGGACACUGGCACCUGCCCACCUGGCCGCGUGAGAAUCGUGAAGUGACGACACCUCUGGAGGCCUCGAUUUCUCUGUCACCCUCAACACUAAGAGUUUUGGCCCUGCUCCUCUUGCUGAGUCAACGAGAAAGUCUUCAUGGAAAUGAAAACGAGGAGAUGAGUAAGAGAUGUUGAGAUGCCAGCAGCCGGACCACAACUGGUAGUGAAACUGAGACCAAGUGGGGUUAAAAAUGUUCCCCAGGUCCACCAAGUCCAAAGUGGCAGAGCCUCUCCAGACUCAGGAAGUCCCGGACCCUCAGGGGUAUGUUCAUCCCAUUUUGAAGAAAAGAUUAUGGUGCAGCAGGCUUAGAAGGUGCUGGAGAAUAUAGGGGCCCGGGGCUCACGAAAGCACCGGGCAAAAUGAGAGAACGUCUCAAGUAAACUAGAAAAUUCUUCCUUCCUUCCUUCCUUCCUUCCUUCCUU